rnacentral:tRNA from 1 species
GGGGUUGUGGCUUGGUGGCAGAGCACGUGCCUAGCAUGUGUGAGGCACUGGGUUCAAUUCCCAGCACCA